rnacentral:rRNA from 1 species
AUUGAACGCUGGCGGCAGGCCUAACACAUGCAAGUCGAACGAGUGGCGGACGGGUGAGUAAUGUCUGGGAAACUGCCUGAUGGAGGGGGAUAACUACUGGAAACGGUAGCUAAUACCGCAUACCAUCAGAUGUGCCCAGAUGGGAUUAGCUGGUUGGGGGGGUAACGGCUCACCAAGGCGACGAUCCCUAGCUGGUCUGAGAGGAUGACCGGCAAAACUGGAACGGAGACAGGGUCCAGACUCCUACGGGAGGCAGAAGUGGGGAUGAUUGCACAAUGGGCGCAAGCCUGAUGCAGAAAUGCGGCGUGUAUGAAGAAGGCCUUCGGGUUGUAAAGUACGUUCAGCGGGGAGGCGUUACCCGCAGAAGAAGCACCGGCUAACUCCGUGCCAGCCGCCGCGGUAAUUC